ACUCCUACGGGAGGCAGCAGUAGGGAAUCUUCCACAAUGGGCGCAAGCCUGAUGGAGCAACACCGCGUGAGUGAAGAAGGGUUUCGGCUCGUAAAAGCUCUGUUGUUAAAGAAGAACACGUAUGAGAGUAACUGUUCAUACGUUGACGGUAUUUAACCAGAAAGUCACGGCUAACUACGUGCCAGCAGCCGCGGUAAUACGUAGGUGGCAAGCGUUAUCCGGAUUUAUUGGGCGUAAAGCGCAUGCAGGCGGCCUGUUAAGUCAGAUGUGAAAGCCCGGGGGCUUAACCUCGGAAUUGCAUUUGAAACUGGCAGGCUAGAGUCUUGUAGAGGGGGUAGAAUUUCAGGUGUAGCGGUGAAAUGCGUAGAGAUCUGAAGGAAUACCAGUGGCGAAGGCGGCCCCCUGGACAAAGACUGACGCUCAGAUGCGAAAGCGUGGGGAGCGAAACAGGAUUAGAUACCCUGGUAGGCGUAG
rnacentral:rRNA from 1 species